AGGAGGCAGAGACAGAUGAGCAGUCAGGUCCUUGUACUUGAAACACUCCUAGCAUGGAAAACUGCAAUGCCGAUGUUUUGUUUUCCAGAAAUUAAAGCUGAUUCCUCGGGGGAAAGGUGUCAUCUAAAGAUGCAGGGAAAUUUAUCUGUGGAUCCAGAGGAGACUGUCAAAAAACUGUGAGCAUCUACUCAAUGGCAACAUGAGACACGAAGCAAUUCUAGGAUGCUCUAGGUGACUUGUCCUCAGUUCCUCAGCCCCAUCCGGUCUGAAGAUGCUUGUGUCGUCAACAGCAUACGAGAAUGUACAGAUGCCUACAAUUUACUGGGACUAGAUAGUGGUGACUGCAAAUGACAGUGGUAAUGAUAGAUAUCCUGGCAAUCAGAGCUGAGGAUGAGUCACAUGCUGGUUUUUAAAUGAAACAAAGAAGACCAAUUGUAUUUCAAUUCUGCAGGUGUCGGAAAUUGCACUGGGGUAAAUCAGUGUAGAGGACUCAUUUUUUGUGGUUUGUUGGUACCUCUAGAAAGUAGAAGCUCAAGCAAAAAUUUUGGUUGAACUGAAACAAGUCCUUUUAGAUAGCUUUUGUUAAAUAGAAAAGUAAAAUCCAGAAAAAAAAAUAUUUUGGAUUCUACAAUUAUUUCCAGACAUUUCUCCCAUGCCAAAUCCAAAAAAAUCUGAAAAUUAAGAAAAUUUCAAAUAAGAACUUUUUGGCAAUUGUUAGGAAAAAAGUGAAUAUUUUCUAAUUAUUUUAUUAAUGUUGGGUUAGGAACUGGAAAUUUGGAAAACUUUAUGCAUGAAAUCUGCGGUUUUGCAAAAAAAAAAAGUAAGGAACGUGAAUCUGAAACCUUUUGCACAGCUUCACAUCUAGGACCUAUGUGAAAUAUUAAGAUUCCAUGUGACUGAAAUUACAAAUACUCCUGUUGGAGUGGUGAUUUGAAUUUAAUAGUGAGGCUAUGCCUCAAAUAUAAUGUUUUUUAUAAAAUAACACUUUGACUCAAGGGAAGUUGUCUUCAUUUUAUGUGUGUUUCUGCAGGCAGAAGUGAUUGACCUCUGUUUCCAUAAAGUCAAAGUACCCAAAAUGUAGAGUGGCGCAUACAGAAAACAGCUUUGUGAAGG
rnacentral:lncRNA from 1 species